rnacentral:sRNA from 1 species
UACAAGAUCUAUAUUGCUUGGUGUACC